UACGUAGGGUGCAAGCGUUGUCCGGAAUUAUUGGGCGUAAAGAGCUCGUAGGCGGUCUGUCACGUCGGCUGUGAAAACCCGAGGCUCAACCUCGGGCCUGCAGUCGAUACGGGCAAACUAGAGUACUGCAGGGGAGACUGGAAUUCCUGGUGUAGCGGUGAAAUGCGCAGAUAUCUGGAGGAACACCGGUGGCGAAGGCGGCGUCCUGGACCAACACUGACACUGAGUGAGCGAAAGCCAGGGGAGCAAACGGG
rnacentral:rRNA from 1 species